rnacentral:sRNA from 1 species
GCUAGGCGUGGUGGCGCGCGCCUGUAAUCCCAGCUUCUUGGGAGGCUGAGGCAGGAUAAUGGCGUGAACCCGGGAGUCAGAGCUUGCAGUGAGCUGAGAUCAUGCCACUGCACUCCAGCCUGGGCGACAGAGCGAGACUCUGUCUCAAAAAAAAAAAAAAGAGAGACAGGGUGUCACUUUGUCACCCAGACUGGAGUGCAGUGACGUGAUCAUAGCUCACUGCAGCCUCAAAAUCCUGGGCUUAAGUGAUCCUCCCAUCU